rnacentral:misc_RNA from 1 species
ACAGGUGAACCUGCGGAAGGAUCAUUAACACGUAUCCUACCCGUGCACCUUCAUUGUAACUCUGCGUUAACACCAAUUGCCUUUGCGGAAUAACGAUUCGGGAUCAUAACUUCACGAGGUGCUGAAGAUGGACCUGGGAGAUCUUGCGAAGCGCGUUACAAAUCGGCUGUUUGGAACGGAAGGGUCCUGAAGCUAGGCGCGUUUCCUUGUGUCUUCGGGUCUC